rfam:Hordeum vulgare subsp. vulgare, WGS project CAJW01000000 data, contig: morex_contig_67330
CCUGUUGAUGUAGAUGAGGUUGUCUCUCAUAUCCUGCAUGGUUUGGAUUCGGACUACAACUCCUUUGUGUCUGCGAUCUCAACC